AGUAUCAAAUAACUAUGCAAACGGGGCCACCAAGACAAAAAAUUGGGAGGAGAGGUGGAAAAAGCUGACCCAAUAUACCAGAAAAGUCACAUCAUAUGUAGUCAUACAUAAAAUGCCAUCAAAGAGUUUUGAUUCUUUCUGUAAGUGACAAGUGACCAAUCAGGAGAGAUGCCUGUCUUUCAAAACAUGGCCUGUUGAUAGUUGUCUUUCAACGCAUUCACAUAAUUGCGUUAAUACAUGGCGAGAAUAGAGAAUUUCACACAAAAUAUAUAUUGCCGGAAAAUCACGUUUACAAAUAGUCGUUUAGUUACCAAACGGGUACCAUUGGAGUCGUGCCUAUUGCAAAAUCGAACAAACUGCUUAAAAAACUAGUUCUUAUUAACUGAGAGUCAGCCUCAGACUAUAUAAAGACGAGCCUUCUGUCUGUGUUUACUUAUAAACUUUUAUUGGAAUUUUAAUUAAAUUUUCAAUAAAAAUUUGCGAUUAGUUACUGUCAAA